UACGUAGGGGGCUAGCGUUGUCCGGAAUCAUUGGGCGUAAAGGGCGCGUAGGCGGCUUGGUCAGUCAGGCGUGAAAUUCCUGGGCUUAACCUGGGGACUGCGCUUGAUACGGCCAGGCUUGAGGAUGGAAGAGGGUCGCGGAAUUCCCAGUGUAGAGGUGAAAUUCGUAGAUAUCGAGAGGAACACCGGUGGCGAAGGCGGCCUUCUGGACAGUGACUGACGCUGAGACGCGAAAGCGUGGGGAGCAAACAGG
rnacentral:rRNA from 1 species